rnacentral:rRNA from 1 species
GAAGGCAGCCAACAAGGCCUUUACUGACGCUAAAGCUCGAAGGUGCGGGUAUCGAACAGGAUUAGAUACCCUGGUAGUCCGCACGGUAAACGAUGGAUGCCCGCUGUUUGCGAUAUACUGUGAGCGGCCAAGAGAAAUCGUUAAGCAUCCCACCUGGGGAGUACGCCGGCAACGGUGAAACUCAAAGGAAUUGACGGGGGCCCGCACAAGCGGAGGAACAUGUGGUUUAAUUCGAUGAUACGCGAGGAACCUUACCCGGGCUUGAACUGCCAGCGAACGAUUCAGAGAUGAUGAGGUCCUUCGGGACGCUGGUGGAGGUGCUGCAUGGUUGUCGUCAGCUCGUGCCGUGAGGUGUCGGCUUAAGUGCCAUAACGAGCGCAACCCUUUUCUUUAGUUGCCAUCAGGUAAUGCUGGGCACUCUGGAGAUACUGCCACCGUAAGGUGUGAGGAAGGUGGGGAUGACGUCAAAUCAGCACGGCCCUUACGUCCGGGGCUACACACGUGUUACAAUGGGGGGUACAGAGAGUCGGUGCAUGGUAAUGUGCAUCUAAUCCUAAAAGCCUUCCUCAGUUCGGAUUGGGGUCUGCAACCCGACCCCAUG